rnacentral:piRNA from 1 species
UGGAGAUGCCGCCUAAACCAAGCGAGAA